AACAGUUAGAAAUGACUGCUAAUACCGCAUAAGCGCACAGGUACCGCAUGGUACAGUGUGAAAAACUCCGGUGGUAUGAGAUGGACCUGCGUCUGAUUAGCUAGUUGGUGAGGUUAAGGCCCCACCAAGGCGACGAUCAGUAGCCGACCUGAGAGGGUGACCGGCCACAUUGGGACUGAGACACGGCCCAAACUCCUACGGGAGGCAGCAGUGGGGAAUAUUGCACAAUGGGGGAAACCCUGAUGCAGCGACGCCGCGUGAGUGAAGAAGUAUUUCGGUAUGUAAAGCUCUAUCAGCAGGGAAGAAAAUGACGGUACCUGACUAAGAAGCCCCGGCUAACUACGUG
rnacentral:rRNA from 1 species